GCGCUCCGGCCCCGCCCCCCGGCCGCGUGGCUGCGCGUCCCGGCUGUUGCCGAUAAAGUUGGUUGACGCCGGGCGGCGGCGGGUCACGUGAGCGGAAGAUGGCGGCCCCGGGAGGUGGCGGAGGCUCCGCGGUGUCGGUGCUGGCCCCGAACGGCCGGCGCCACACAGUAAAGGUGACGCCGAGCACCGUGCUGCUUCAGGUUCUGGAGGACACGUGCCGGCGGCAGGACUUCGACCCCUGUGAAUAUGACCUGAAGUUUCAGAGGAGUGUGCUCGACCUUUCUCUCCAGUGGAGAUUUGCCAACCUACCCAAUAAUGCCAAGCUGGAGAUGGUGCCCGCCUCCCGGAGCCGCGAGGGGCCCAAGAACAUGGUUCGCAUUGCUUUGCAGCUGGAUGACGGCUCCAGGUUGCAGGAUACCUUUUGUUCAGGCCAGACCCUCUGGGAGCUUCUCAGCCAUUUUGCACAGACCAGGGACUGCCUGCAGCAGCCUGGUGGGGCGACCCCAGUGUGCGUGUACACGAGGGAUGAGGUGACGGGUGAAGCUGCCCUGAGGGACACCACACUGCUGUCGCUGGGCCUCACUGGGGGCAGUGCCUCCAUCAGGUUUGUCAUGAAGCACUGUGACCCCGUGGGCAAGACCCCAGGAAGCCUGGGCCUAUCAGCAUCGGCUGGCCAGGCAGCCGCCAGCCCUCCACUGCCCUUGGAAUCUGGGGAGCUCUGCCGUGGUGACCUGAGCCAUCAGGAGGACGUGGACACCGUGGGGUCCAGCUGUGAGGAUUCACAGGAGAAGCAGAGCGUGAGGGCGCCCAUGCCUGCCCGCUUUGUUCCUUUCUCGGGCGGGGGACAGCGACUGGGGGGCCCCUCUGGGCCCGUGAGACCUUUGAUUUCAUCGUCAGCCAAGUUGCCAAAGUCCCUCUCCAGCCCUGGAGGCCCCUCCAAGCCAAAGAAGUCCAAGCCUGGCCAGGAUCCCCAGCAGGAGCCAGAGCCAGAGCCGCCCGUGGACCGGGUGCCAGUGGUGUGCCACCCCGACCUGGAGGAGCGGCUGCAGGCCUGGCCGGCGGAGCUGCCGGAUGAGUUCUUCGAGCUGACGGUGGACGAUGUGAGAAGACGCUUGGCCCAGCUCAAGAGUGAGCGGAAGCGCCUGGAGGAAGCACCCUUGAUGACCAAGGCCUUGAGGGAGGCGCAGAUGAAGGAGAAGCUGGAGCGCUACCCAAAGGUGGCUCUGCGGGUCUUGUUCCCUGACCGCUACAUCCUGCAGGGCUUCUUCCGCCCCAGCGAAACAGUGGGGGACUUGCGAGACUUCGUGAGGAGCCACCUGGGGCACCCUGAGCUGCCGUUUUACCUGUUUAUCACUCCUCCAAAAACAAUCCUGGACAACUACUCGUGCACCCUCUUUCAGCCCUGAGCGUCAGGGUGCCCUCAGCCCUGGGGUCCGUGCUCUGCCCUUCACCCUGGAGCACCUUAACAGGCCUCGAAGACACCGGUGCGCUCCAGGGACCCCCUCACAACCGGCUUCGUCUUCUGGCCCUGUGGGGACGGAAUUGGAGGCCUGGCGCCUGCACGCGUACACACAGCCUGCUGCUUCCGCAGCGGGGGUCGGGGGGAGGGGGUGCAGGCCCGGGGGCGCCCAGCCCCUGAUGUCCCGGGAGGUCCUCCCUCUGCCCGUGGUGUGAUUUGAGCAUCAGCGCCCCCCGCGUCUGUCUCACCACACUGCUGCCUGCUGCCCUCCUGAGGGUCUCAGUUGUCCCCAAGGCCAGGGCAGGGCAUCUAGAAGUACCUGGCCAGGUGUCUUCCCAUCUCUGCUGUGCUUGUCUAGGCUGGGGAGCAGAGGGUAGAGAUUGCUUCCCCGUGGGAUCCCAGAGACAGCCAGCAGGCAGGGGACUUGUGGUGGACAGCCGGUGGGGCAGGGAGGCCUGCUUCCACGGGAGCUCCCCCAGGGGUCCUUCCCCAAGGCCUCAGCCCUGCAGCCCCGGCCUGGGCCCUGGUAUGUGCUUUGUCCUUGUCCAGAGCAAAACAAAGAGACGAGGGGUGGGGGCCCACAGACAGGAGCCUGCCCUGGGGACUGAGCCCUGCCCAGAGCCCUGCCUGUGCACGUCCACCUGGCCUGGAUCAGGUGAGAUUCAGCUCCAGUGCCGGUGCCGGCCAUGAUGGGCUGAGUGCACCUGGCGGCGAGUUCCCUGGUCAGGGCCUCCUUCCAGGUGCGGCCGUCCCCCUCCCGUGGGGGCUGGCUGUGGCCAUGCUGUGUCGAGCGGGGGAGGCAGCCCUGGGUUGCAGGAAGCCCGGGGCCAGCCCUCCUUUCUGGUCCUGGGGAUAGAGCAGCUGGACCUUUCUCUUGGAGGUGGGAGUGGGGAGGGGAGCCCCAGGGGGCCUGUGGGGGUGAGAGGGGGUUCUCAGGCUUCCUUCCCCGCCCCAGCUGCGGUCCCCAUUCCACUGUCCUCACCCCACUGGGACCCUUCUGGGGGCUGGAUGUACCGGGGAACCCUGAGUCCACUGGGGUGGCUGUGACAAAGGCCCAUAUCCCGGAGGCCUGGGGUCCAAGCUCCCGGGAUGGCUGGGCUGGCCCCUCUCAGGCUUCCGUCGUGGCUGGCAGAAGUUACAUCUGUGUCCUCGCACGGUCACUUUUGUGUGCGUUCUGUGUCCUCAUGAGAAUUCACACUGGAACAAACCUGCCUUUGAUGUCAUCUUACCUUACGUAACUCUUCAAAGACCCUGCUGGGCUUCGUUCACUGGCUUUGGGGGGCAAACCUGGCUCCUAACACUCUCCAUCUGUUGGAGCUCUUGGGCUGCCUCGGGGGACCAGGACACGGACCCCUUGCUGCCUGGUUCCCUACUCCCCAAGCUACCUGCCUGGCAGGGUGUGCCUGGCACUUCCAGCCUGAGUGCCUGCUGGGCGCCUACCCCUAGCCAGUCCUGUCCUUCCUCUCCUCCCAGGACAGCUCCCCACCGCUGGGGACUGUGCAGCGGACAGGCUCCCUUCUUUCCCCUGACCAGGCCCGCCUGGGCCUCCGAAAUGUUCCUCAUUACCUCAUGGUCUUGCAGAAGCAGGAUGGCUCUGCUCCCACCCCCGCCCCCCGUGGGUGGAUGCCCUGUCUCUCCCUGCCUGGGAACCGUGGUGCUGCCCCAUGCCUGGGCAUCUUGGGCCAUAAGCCUUCUCUCCUGGCUGCUUUUCCCCGGAUGGCGGUGCCGUUCUUCCCCGUGGGGACGGCUGGGGCGCUACCUGUGCAUCCUGCUCCUGCAGAGUCACUGCCCACGGGAGUUGGCCUGGACCUCGUUUCGGAAGCUUUUCCUGGCAACACUGAGUGUGGCAAGGGGCUGGCAGCAGAGGGGGCUGGCUCCAGGGUGGCUGGGCUGGCCUCUCUCAGGCUUCUGCUGUGGCUGGCAGACUGCGUCCUCACAGGGUCACUUGUGUGUGUGGUCUGUGUCCUCAUUUCUUGAGGAAUCAAACUGGACUAGACCAGCCUUUGAUGUCAUCUCAUAUCACUUAUCUUUUCAAAGAUAAGUGAGAUAUCUUCAAAGAUAAGUGCACUGUCCCAGGCCCUCAGGUUGUGUCAGGGCAGGGUGGGCGUUCCUCUUCCCUGUCAGCCCAGGGAGCCAGGACAGUGCUGGUGGGGACAGGCCCCUCAGCCUGCACCUCCCUCAAAGGCCCUUUUUGGGCCCUGCUCUGGGUGGCGGCGGGGGUGGGGGUGUCCACUGUGACUCACAUUCCAUGUCUAGACCCAGCUUCGUGACUGGGGUGGCUCCAUCCACCCUGGUCCCUUGCUGAAGUGGCCCCUGGAAACCAGGGCAGAGAGCACGCACCGUUUCUGACAGUGGGAGAUGGAGGUGACCUGCGACUUUGGGAGGCUCCUCUUCUGGGGUCCAUCCAGAGGCCGAACCUCUCCAAGCACCGCAGCCUCCAUGCCACCCAGUCCGCUGAGCCUCUGCGCCACUGGCUGCCAGGCCUACUUCCCUCUCCUCGAGUUCCUGGGCCUGUGUGUCCCGCGGUGCAGUGCUGGGAGGGUCAUGGCCUGCGGGGGCAGUGAUGAAAACCAGGUGCCUCUGCAUCGGUGGCUUCUGAGGGAUUCCUCUUGCCCGGCGGCAGGUGGGACACAGAUGGGGCUGGCCAGGCCUCCGGUGCCCACAGCAGCCUCCAGGCAGGGUCCCCUGGACUGCUGGGAGCGGCUGCAGCCUGGGCGUGAAUCCCGGAGGCCCCAUGGCGCGCUCUGUCUGUGAGGCUGAGGCCACGGCGGCUCCUGGCGCUGUCCUCCUGGUGCCCCCUUCCUGGCUCCCCAGCUUCCGGCGCCUCUCCAGGACUACUGGGGCAGCCCCUGCGCACCCCACAGGCCCUGCUGUCCUCACAAGGCUUUGAUCCCAGGCGGCACAAUUGGGUUUUCAAAGCAUUCACGGCCCUUGUUUGUGUCCCCGGCUGGAGGCUGAGGUUUCAGCGUUCCUGGGCCUGGCCUUUGAAGCUUCCUCUUAUUAAUCUUUUAACAUCCCUCAGCCCCACCCCAGCCUGUGGCCCCAAGCAGCCUGGAGCCAGGAGGGGGAUGCUUUCAGCCUGGCAGCUGCAGCCCUCCACAGUGGUUCCUGCCCUGCGUCACCUUCCUCGGGUGCAGAGUCCAGACCAGGGAGGGCUGUGAUACUGCACAACUUGGGGACCCUCGGGGCCCCAGCCUGCAGCUGGUUUGGGACUUGGGGUGGUCCCAUGGAGGGCGCUGCUGGUCUCAGGAUGCCCUGGCCUUGCUUACAGUGGUAGGGUUGGUGCCAGAGUCGGGACAGGAAGCUGGGCAAUGAGGGGCCCAUGGGGGCCGGGCAGGUGGAGCCUGCCUGAGGGUGGAGCUGUGACCAUCAGCAGGGCCUGGGCCUGGGCCUGGGGGUGGGUGUGGCUGCCUCCACAGCAGGAGGGGUGCUCUGCCCACGGUGCCCGCACAGCUCCUGAGCCUCCCGCCCUCCCUGCAGGCGAACCUCUUCCCGGCUGCUGUGGUGCACUUUGGAGCCACGGAACCAGCAGGUGUCUACCUGGAGCCUGGCCUG